rnacentral:rRNA from 1 species
ACACUCCUGCGGGAGGCAGCAGUGGGGAAUAUUGGACAAUGGGCGCAAGCCUGAUCCAGCCAUGCCGCGUGAGUGAUGAAGGCCCUAGGGUUGUAAAGCUCUUUCACCGGUGAAGAUAAUGACGGUAACCGGAGAAGAAGCCCCGGCUAACUUCGUGCCAGCAGCCGCGGUAAUACGAAGGGGGCUAGCGUUGUUCGGAUUUACUGGGCGUAAAGCGCACGUAGGCGGACUAUUAAGUCAGGGGUGAAAUCCCGGGGCUCAACCCCGGAACUGCCUUUGAUACUGGUAGUCUUGAGUUCGAGAGAGGUGAGUGGAAUUCCGAGUGUAGAGGUGAUAUUCGUAGAUAUUCGGAGGAACACCAGUGGCGAAGGCGGCUCACUGGCUCGAUACUGACGCUGAGGUGCGAAAGCGUGGGGAGCAAACAGGAUUAGAUACCCCUGUAGUCCCAUGA